AUAAGAGAGCAUCGUAGGACACUAACACCUGUCCCACAGCAGUUCUCUGUGUUCAACACAAUUUGGAAACCAUGGCUGCAGCCUUGCUGUGGGACCUUCCCCUUCUGUGGGUGUGACAAGGAAGAUGACAUCCUUCCCAUGGCUCCCUGAGACCAUGCGGACCACGUGUUACCCACCACAAACUUACUGUUACAAUGGUCAUAGGAGCAGAGCUCACCUGACUGAUUCAUUCCAUUUGGGAUAAAAACUGAUGGCCCAACCCAUUGUUUUAUCCUCAGAAAUCAGUUCUUUCAAGAGCUCGGUGAAAUUAAAGUGGGCCCAUAUAACAGUGAACCUGGAGGGGAGCAUUUGUUGUAUAAUUUUUUUCUAGUAUAUAAUUGUGCCAUUGCCCAAGGAAAAGAGCAAAUCAAGGUGACUUCAGCAGAUUCUUGUAGAGCUUUUGUUCCUAGAAUUCAUGGAAGCAUCAGGUCCAAUGUCAUAAGUUAGAAACUUCUGCUUGCAGAUUCUAUACCCAGGCAUGCUAGCUUUCUAAUAAAUCAUGAU
rnacentral:lncRNA from 1 species